rnacentral:rRNA from 1 species
AGAGUUUGAUCCUGGCUCAGAACGAACGUUGGCGGCGUGCUUAACACAUGCAAGUCGAACGAGAAAGUUCCUUCGGGAACGAGUAAAGUGGCGCACGGGUGAGUAACGCGUAAGUAAUCUACCUUGGCAUUUGGAAUAACUACGGGAAGCUGUAGCUAAUACCGGAUACGUUUAUAUGGUUGCGACCAUAUACAGAAAGAUGACCUCUUCUUGAAAGUUAUCGUGCUAAGAGGAGCUUGCGUACCAUUAGCUAGUUGGUAGGGUAAUGGCCUACCAAGGCAACGAUGGUUAGCGGGUCUGAGAGGAUGAUCCGCCACACUGGAACUGGAACACGGACCAGACUCCUACGGGAGGCAGCAGUGAGGAAUAUUGCGCAAUGGGGGAAACCCUGACGCAGCGACGCCGCGUGGAUGAUGAAGGCCUUAGGGUCGUAAAAUCCUGUCAGAUGGGAAGAAAUGUACGUAGGAAUAAUACCUUAUGUGCUGACG